rnacentral:misc_RNA from 1 species
UUUGGGCACCUAGUCUUGAUUCCAAACCUUUUGCAAAACGGUAACCAAUACCUUGCAAACUUGCAAGCUUCUCUCAUUCCAAGCAAAGUUAUAGCAGCACCUCCAUCAUCUGAUAAAUACACAUGAAGCUUUUGUGCUGGAUAAUCGAGUGCCAUAGCCGAUAAAACAGUGUUCAUUACAUCCACAAUUGGCUCUUUAUCAGGAUCCGCAGUGCAUAUAAAUACGUCAACUGGAGGUAGCUUCUCAUCUUUGGGCAAUCUUUCAGGG